GUCUCAUCCAGUUCUGGGCGGACCCAGGCAGGAGUUUCCUCGAAGGAUUAGACAUCCUAGUUCUGCAACAGGCCGCCAGGUCGAGGGUACGCUAAGAAGAAGCUGAAAGCCACCCUACUGUCCCCCAGAGGCAGGAAGCAGAGGCAGAGGCAGAGGCAGGAAGGUCACCGAGAAUUUGAGACCAGCCUGGGCUAAGAAGUGAGUUCAAGGCCAGCCUGAACUGCAUUGAAGUGGAAGCAGCCUUCAUCCAGCUCAAACCGUGUGGAGCCCCUGACCCCUUGGCUUGGGCCUGUGUGAGUGUCGUGUGGGUGGCCUUUCCACAUCAGAAGACAAUCGAGACCUAGAGGCUGGACCUGCAAACACCCAGUUGGAAGCAGAACGAACCCGAGAUCUCUGCUUUGCUCUACAUUGAUUGGCAAAAUGGGCCUGGUUUGAUAACAGAGAGGUCCUGUGUCCCAGCUCCUGACCUAGUUAAGGUCUCAGUUAAU
rnacentral:lncRNA from 1 species